rnacentral:rRNA from 1 species
GAUGAACGCUGGCGGCGUGCCUAACACAUGCAAGUCGAACGCUCGCAAGAGAGUGGCGCACGGGUGAGUAACACGUAGCUAAUCUGCCCUCAAGACAAGGAUAACUGUAGGAAACUACUGCUAAUACUUGAUAAGCUUACGGACUGUAGAGGUCUAUAAGAAAAGAUUUAUCGCUUGAGGAUGAGGCUGCGCGCCAUCAGCUAGUUGGUAAGGUAAUGGCUUACCAAGGCGACGACGGCUAGGGGACCUGAGAGGGUGACCCCCCACACUGGGACUGAGACACGGCCCAGACUCCUACGGAGGCAGCAGUGAGGAAUAUUGCUCAAUGGGCGCAAGCCUGAAGCAGCGACGCCGCGUGGAUGAAGAAGGUUUCGGACUGUAAAAUCUUUCUGUAUGACGAGAGU